rnacentral:rRNA from 1 species
GGGUUGUGAGGUUAAGCGACUAAGCGUACACGGUGGAUGCCCUGGCAGUCAGAGGCGAUGAAGGACGUGCUAAUCUGCGAUAAGCGUCGGUAAGGUGAUAUGAACCGUUAUAACCGGCGAUUUCCGAAUGGGGAAACCCAGUGUGUUUCGACACACUAUCAUUAACUGAAUCCAUAGGUUAAUGAGGCGAACCGGGGGAACUGAAACAUCUAAGUACCCCGAGGAAAAGAAAUCAACCGAGAUUCCCCCAGUAGCGGCGAGCGAACGGGGAGCAGCCCAGAGCCUGAAUCAGUGUGUGUGUUAGUGGAAGCGUCUGGAAAGGCGCGCGAUACAGGGUGACAGCCCCGUACACAAAAAUGCACAUGUUGUGAGCUCGAUGAGUAGGGCGGGACACGUGGUAUCCUGUCUGAAUAUGGGGGGACCAUCCUCCAAGGCUAAAUACUCCUGACUGACCGAUAGUGAACCAGUACCGUGAGGGAAAGGCGAAAAGAACCCCGGCGAGGGGAGUGAAAAAGAACCUGAAACCGUGUACGUACAAGCAGUGGGAGCACGCUUAGGCGUGUGACUGCGUACCUUUUGUAUAAUGGGUCAGCGACUUAUAUUCUGUAGCAAGGUUAACCGAAUAGGGGAGCCGAAGGGAAACCGAGUCUUAACUGGGCGUUAAGUUGCAGGGUAUAGACCCGAAACCCGGUGAUCUAGCCAUGGGCAGGUUGAAGGUUGGGUAACACUAACUGGAGGACCGAACCGACUAAUGUUGAAAAAUUAGCGGAUGACUUGUGGCUGGGGGUGAAAGGCCAAUCAAACCGGGAGAUAGCUGGUUCUCCCCGAAAGCUAUUUAGGUAGCGCCUCGUGAAUUCAUCUCCGGGGGUAGAGCACUGUUUCGGCAAGGGGGUCAUCCCGACUUACCAACCCGAUGCAAACUGCGAAUACCGGAGAAUGUUAUCACGGGAGACACACGGCGGGUGCUAACGUCCGUCGUGAAGAGGGAAACAACCCAGACCGCCAGCUAAGGUCCCAAAGUCAUGGUUAAGUGGGAAACGAUGUGGGAAGGCCCAGACAGCCAGGAUGUUGGCUUAGAAGCAGCCAUCAUUUAAAGAAAGCGUAAUAGCUCACUGGUCGAGUCGGCCUGCGCGGAAGAUGUAACGGGGCUAAACCAUGCACCGAAGCUGCGGCAGCGACGCUGAUGCGUUGUUGGGUAGGGGAGCGUUCUGUAAGCCUGCGAAGGUGUGCUGUGAGGCAUGCUGGAGGUAUCAGAAGUGCGAAUGCUGACAUAAGUAACGAUAAAGCGGGUGAAAAGCCCGCUCGCCGGAAGACCAAGGGUUCCUGUCCAACGUUAAUCGGGGCAGGGUGAGUCGACCCCUAAGGCGAGGCCGAAAGGCGUAGUCGAUGGGAAACAGGUUAAUAUUCCUGUACUUGGUGUUACUGCGAAGGGGGGACGGAGAAGGCUAUGUUGGCCGGGCGACGGUUGUCCCGGUUUAAGCGUGUAGGCUGGUUUUCCAGGCAAAUCCGGAAAAUCAAGGCUGAGGCGUGAUGACGAGGCACUACGGUGCUGAAGCAACAAAUGCCCUGCUUCCAGGAAAAGCCUCUAAGCAUCAGGUAACAUCAAAUCGUACCCCAAACCGACACAGGUGGUCAGGUAGAGAAUACCAAGGCGCUUGAGAGAACUCGGGUGAAGGAACUAGGCAAAAUGGUGCCGUAACUUCGGGAGAAGGCACGCUGAUAUGUAGGUGA